UUAGCUCGGCCUCAGAACCAUCCUUCUUGUGAGCAAACAGUGGUUCAGUCUGUGGCAGGGGCAAUGGGUGGGCAGGCUGAGGACCUGGUUGGGGCAUCUGGCAGUGGUGGGGACGCCUGCUGAUGCCACUCCCUCCAUUCCAGAUCUGGCAGGGCAUCGACAUCGAGACCAAGAUGCACAUCCGCUUCCUCAACAUGGAGACCAUUGCCCUCUGCCACUGAUCGUGCAGGGGAGGGGGUGGCUAAGGACCGAGGUUCAGCCCUUUGUCUGGGCUGCUGUGACAAUCAGUAACCCUUCAGUUAGCCUCCUUGUGUGGUGUGGCGUGUGGGACUCCGAUGUUUUUAUCUCUAAUGGUGACAAUAAAGGUUUCCUAAUGAGCCCGGCA
rnacentral:lncRNA from 1 species